UGGUCCAUCGGCUUCACCAUUCCAUACCUAUGCGGUCCAGAGCCCGAUCACUGUAAACUUAGUCUCCAGAUUUUCGUCUCAGUGAUGCCAACGUUUCUGUACAAUGAUUGCGUUUGAGUCUAUCAGCUGCUAUGGAGAAUGGAUGCAUGCAAACUCAGAUUUUGGUGAAUUCUUACCGGCGUUUCCAGCCAAUUUUUGGGAUGAUUGAGUUCGUCCAAUGCAAGUUCACCUUCAAAAAGGGAGAUUCUGACCUCUUCCCGAAUUGCUGCUGUCAGCCAACUUCGACGGCCAGAAACUGCAAGUUUGAGCCUUUGUAUCUGUACGACUUCUUCAUGAAAGUUGUUCGAAAUUGCGUCUUCUAUACUUUCCUCGAAAAUCAUGAUAAUCCAACGGUUAAUUCGUUCUCAAUCAAGUUUCUACUCAGAUUGGGUCAUGUUUCUCCAUCGACAUUUGAGUUAAUUUCAUGAAGUUUACAUCUCCAUCUUGAGUUCACACAAUUGAUUUUACAAUUGGAUGACGAAGCAUGGAAUCUGGUUGCACAAGCCAAAGGCAGAGGUAUUGCUUGACCUGGAAUAACAUUCGAAGCACUUUGAUUCGAGUUGGUCUUGCAGGUACUGUGCACGAGGAUUGAGGAGGAUUUCGAGACUGAGCUGGGUGCUACAUUUUUCUUUAACUAUUUGGUAUCUUGGAACAAAGAAAGAGAAAAGAAGCAAAAGAUGAAUUGAAAGGCAAAAUCAGCAAAUCUGCCUGUGCAGAUCAGUCAACUUUGACAGAUCACGGAGAUCAGCUCAGAAUGAACCAGAUGUUGAUCUUUAUAUUGGUGGAAAGAAUCAGAUGUCUCGUUUUCAAAUCUUUUUACGGCUCAUCAAUAUCAUUUUUCUAGAGGACGUUAUGACCGAUUUACUACAAGAAGGUCAGGCUGCGCGUGAAUCUGAGGUAGUUUCGAGGCCCAAAUCACAACGGGAAGCCCGAGGCAGAGUUUGUCCUUCAUAUUCCCACUUGAUAUGGACAAAUGGCGAGACAUGAAUUGUUAGAAUAAGUCAUCAAGUUCAAGAGCCAAUAGGAAAACUCCACCUAAGCACUCUAACCCUAAUUCUUUUAGGUUUUGGAUUUCUUACACAACAAGAAAGAUGAAGGCAAUCUCUAAGCAUAUAAGAGGAGAUCAAAAUGCAGCAGCUUGCUCUCCCUCUCUCUCUUCCUCACUUACGUUAUUUUUUAUUUUGGAUUCCAAUUAUGUUUAACUAAAU